rnacentral:rRNA from 1 species
GACGAACGCUGGCGGCGUGCUUAACACAUGCAAGUCGAACGGAAAGGCCCUGCUUUUGUGGGGUGCUCGAGUGGCGAACGGGUGAGUAACACGUGAGUAACCUGCCCUUGACUUUGGGAUAACUUCAGGAAACUGGGGCUAAUACCGGAUAGGAGCUCCUGCUGCAUGGUGGUGGUUGGAAAGUUUCGGCGGUUGGGGAUGGACUCGCGGCUUAUCAGCGUGUUGGUGGGGUAGUGGCUUACCAAGGCUUUGACGGGUAGCCGGCCUGAGAGGGUGACCGGACACAUUGGGACUGAGAUAGGGCCAAGACUCCUACGGGGGGGAGCAGUGGAGUAUAUUGCACAAUGGGCGGAAGCCUGAUGCAGCAACGCCGCGUGCGGGAUGACGGCCUUCGGGUUGUAAACCGCUUUAGCCUGUGACGAAGCGUGAGUGACGGUAAUGGGUAAAGAAGCACCGGCUAACUACGUG